rnacentral:lncRNA from 1 species
CUAUCAGUAUCUUUAUCUGUGUAUCUACAGUCACCCGGAAAGGGAAGUCAUUAAAUGCUAACUGUGGGAUCAGGGAGAUUUUUUUCCUUUUUCUUAUUAUCCACUUUCUAUGUGUCCUGAAUUUUCCAUAAGCAUUAUGUUCCCCUAAUAAAACUGAAAUUUUCCAUUGAAGAAGAGAGAAACGUGCUGUUUCUUACGAAGAUGGUCUUUGAAAAGCGGUGUUCACAGUAUGCCUGGUCUUCCUUCUGCUCCAGUUAGGGCUGACCCCUCCUCCCUCUGCCAAUCGUAUACAGGGUUUUUCAGAAUUUAUGACGCCUUGUAUUCCUUAUUUGCUCUCAGAAAUCACCUACCGCCCUGACCAGAGUUUGCGCAGCCACCUGUAGACUGCCAAGAUGAAAGAAAAGAAAGUCCCGUGCAGACGCUUACUCUCUGUCAGGUAAGUAGCCGGAGACUGGCCGGGACUGACCGCACCCCACAGCAUUCAGGCUCUGCGCUGUCAGCAUGAGCCCAGCGUGGGGCUUGAACUCACAAACCAGGAGGGGAUGACCUGAGCCGAAGUCACGAGCUGGAUUCUUAACCGUCUGAGCCACCUGCGUGCUCCAGGGUGUUAGGAUUUCGAGGCAACGGGCCCCUUAUGUCUUUUGAGUGUCUUCCUGUGAACCUUUUCUUUCUGUUGCAGUUGUCAGCAGGACUUCACAUCUUCAAAGUCACAGUUUCCAGGGAUGAAGCCCCGGAGAAGGAUUCACAGAUGUCACCACGAAGCCAGAAAGUACAGAUGACCCGAAUAUAGUGAGUUCUCGCUGGGAAGAAAUUAACGGCCCUUCGGAGAGGGGACCCCAGCGCAGGCCCCUGUCCUACGUCUGUCUGACCUUGUUCCAGGAAACUGUACUUUCAGGCAAGUGGUUUCCCCUCCUAGACUGUGCUUUCCAGUACUUGUGUCCUGACCAUUUCCUUAAAUCGAUGCCUGUAACAUACGCCGUGCCGUACUCUCUUUGACCGAGUCGCGAGGCGGAUUUGGCUUCCGUGGGGGUUUUGGUUGGCAACCCCUUC